CAAAUAGUUAAAUAUAUCUACAUGUUAAUUAUAUGCUUUUUGUGUCAGUAUUUCUAUAAGUGAAAAUUCUGAUUAAAGGAGAAAAAAGCAGCAGUAAAAAAAAAGAAAGAAAUUUAAUACAAGAGGGAAAAAAGAUUGGAAAUGAAACUUGCGCAUUCUCUCAAAGUAUAUAUUGUUGCCUAGGGCCACACUAACAGUGAUGGGUUUCACUGCAAUAUAGCUAAUGACAUCUUUAAAGACUCUCACUUGAAAUUUGUUGUUCUGGGCUUUAUUCUUAUAUUAGUCAGUCAGUGACUUUCAAUGGACUACUUUUGUGUCUAAAUGCCCCAUUCAUUUCAAAGGGCUCAUAAUACAGAAAUAAUUUUCAAAAUCAGGUGCAAAAUGAUAUUCCAUUAUCAUAUAACAAUGAGAUAAAAUGGUGUUCAUAAUCUUUAUGUUAUAUCACAAUUUAUUUCAAUAAUUUUUGUUUCAUUAAGCCUCAUUAUGUGCAAUUCUCUUAAUAACUUUCUCAACAAAAAUUCUGAGUGCCAAAACAAUGCUUUACAUGUUUUUGGUUUAUUUUUGUAAUGUUCCCCUUCAUUUUUAUUUAGUUACAUACAUUUUUUGAAACAAUACCCCGUGGUAAUUUAUCUUUUUUCUCCAAGAGCCAGGAAAAGCUCCUGAAGCCAAACAAGGAACUACAAAAGUUGCAGCACAAGCAGCAGCUAAAAAGGAUGAAAAGAAGGAAGGUAUGUUUUAUACAAAAUCCCACUGUGUCUUUUGUUGAAACAAUUUGCCAAUAUUCAGAGUUAGGUUUAGACUGCUCUCCUUCCUAUAUUCCCUUUGGAUAACUGGAUCUAUUAUGUGCAUAAAUUUGUCUUAAAUGUGCUUUUUCUAUCUCACUUCACACAAAAGAAUGAGAUGAUUUUUAAAAAAAAUUUUUAGUCUUUCUCAAGACAUAAGGGAUAAAGCUUACCUGUCCAAAUCCUAAGCCCCUAUUCUGUCAGUUUCAUAUUUCAGAAAAUAUUAAAAAUUUAAAAUACAAACCCAUAGACAUCAUUCUCCUAUAUCAACAGUAAUCAAAUUACAAAUUCACCGCUUUAAGGUUUGUAUUCAUAUUCCUUCCAUUGUUAAUACCUCUAGGACUUUUUGUUCUCUUUUUCCUGGCUUAUACACUUCAUUUCACUUUUGAGAAAUUGUUCACAAUCAGUAUGUAAUAUUUAUAAAAGUUUGGGCAGAAGUUUUUCUAUGGAAUUCAAGAGAUCUAGUGUCUGUGACCAAACAACCAUAAAACAUGUAAAAAAAUGUCCUUGGUGACGUCAAGAUUGAAAUUUAUAUGAGUUUCAACCUCAAGUUUUUCUUUGACCCUAAAAUUUUGUUCUCUAUACAUUUUAGUUUUAUUUAAUCCUUUCUAAAAUAAUUAGAAAAACUAAUCUUCAUUAACAGCCUCUAGUCCUCAAGUUGAAAUCUCCCAGUGCCAUUUGUGACCUUACAUUUGUCUCACUAACUUUGCAUGUCAAUUAGGGCAAUAACCUCCAAAAUCAGAGUUUUUUACAAAAAAGUGGUCAUGAUUCCACAGGGUCCCUGAGAUACUUUCCAAGAUUAUUUAAAGUCAAACUUAUUUUUAUAAAAAAUACGUAAUCACCAUUUGCCUUUUUCACUUUCAGUCUCACAUUAAUGUUUUUUCAGAAGAUAAAUGAUAUUUGAUAUUGCAAAAGACUAAAUACUUAAGCAGGUGUGCAAAUCUAAGUGUCUUCUAAUUAAGCCAGUUAUUA
ensembl:lncRNA